CGCCUUCCCGCGCUUGUGCUGUCACACACGCCUUCUUGUCACACCUGCGGGGAAGAGGUGGGAUCUCCGAGCAAAGCUUGCCGUCGCCCAAGAAGAGAAGACCUGCCUGUCGCUUGUGGAGCGGAGACGCGAGGGAAUCCCGCAAGAAGCGUGGCUUCGGGUGCGCCCCGUGCCCGUGGGUCGCUGAGGCUGGGAAGGCUCGGCUGCGGUAGAUGACCUGUGCGGUAGACGGCGUCGCGCCCCCGGGAGGUUCGGCCCCCAGUGUUUGUCGUCCUAGCGCCUUGAAGAGACCCACAGGCCCGCGACUGGCCACCGGCCCCGUCUGCUCCGGAUUGCUGAGGCGGACAAUCUCUUUGACCCUGCGCCCCCUCGGGUCCGGCGCUUGCCAGGAGGAGGAAGCGUUUGUGCUCUGUGAGGUCGUCUGUGGUGUUCUGGGGCCGAAGGAGGGGGUCAUAGGU